UACGUAGGGGGCAAGCGUUGUCCGGAAUCAUUGGGCGUAAAGAGCGUGUAGGCGGCCAGAAAAGUCCGCUGUGAAAACUCGAGGCUCAACUUCGAGCUGUCGGUGGAAACUUUCUGGCUAGAGUCCGGAAGAGGAGAAUGGAAUUCCUGGUGUAGCGGUGAAAUGCGCAGAUAUCAGGAAGAACACCAAUGGCGAAGGCAGCUCUCUGGGACGGUACUGACGCUGAGACGCGAAAGCGUGGGGAGCGAACAGG
rnacentral:rRNA from 1 species